GGGGGCGUCAGGCUUCGACGGGGGUGGUUGACGCGGAAGAAGCAGGUCGAGGAUUUCGCUUGCUCGUUAAAACAGCGGAGCGCUAAAUCUAAGCGCAGACUCUGAAUACGCACUCGCUGCCUAAUUAGCGCAGCGCGUCGCCCGGGAAGUUCCCACGGUUCCGGGACCGGCGUCGCGAGUGGGAUAGGGAAGGCCCCACGCCUGUAAGGCCGGCCCGAAGCUUAACAGGCUGGCGAGAGGGUGAGCCCGCCGGUGGGCGCCCCGAUCGCGAGAGCUAAGUUCGCCGGAUAAGCCUGUAGAUGCUUCCGUUGAUGCACUCGCGGACGGGGGUUCGAUUCCCCCCGCCUCCACCA
rnacentral:tmRNA from 1 species